GAGCCUCUUUUGGAAUCAAAGCG
rnacentral:snRNA from 1 species